GCAUUGUCCUGUGAACAUACCAAGAAGCUACUCCCAAAUUUGUGUGCACAAAAAUAUUUUCAGAAAGAAAUAACACAAAGCUUUGCAUUUAGUGGACUUUUUGAGCUAUAUAGAAAGAAGUUUUGGAAAUAUAAAGGUGGUAGUGAGGACCAUAAAAUAUGUGAUCAUGAAAAUGAUCUGCUGGCAAAACACAUCUGUUUCAUUUCUGAAAAGAAUAAAGAAGUUCUAGACAUUCCUGAGAGAACUCAGUCUGGGUCACUCCCAUGUAUGCAAUGUGGCAAGUGCUUUGCUCAGUACUCAGCUCUUCAAAAACCUCACAGAAUCCAUACUGUAAAGAAACCUUUCAUUUGUAAGGAAUGUUGGAAAUCAUUUACUUGGUCCUCAAAAUUUCAAGUUCACCACAGAAUACAUGAUGCACAGGAACUUUAUAAAUCUAAUAAGUGUGGGAUAUACACUGAGCAUGAACCUUAUAAAUCUAAUAGUUGUGGGAAAUCAUUACCCAGUCUUCAAGUCUUCUAGCUCAUCACAGAAUCUGUACAAGAGACAAACCUGCAAAUGUAAGGAAUGUUGGAAAAGCUUUAUAUAGUCCUUAGAUCUUAAAAAUAACUACAGAAUCUACACAGGAGGCAAACCUUACAAAUGUAAUGAAUGUGAUAUGUCUUUUAUCUGAUCCUCAUCUCUUCAAGUUCAUCAAAGAAUCCAUACUGGAAAACAACCUUAUAUGUGUAAAUGAAUGUGGAAAAUCUUUUUCCUGCUCCUCGAAUAUUCAUUCUUACCAGAGUGUCCAUACAGGAAACAAACUUAACAAAUGUAGUGAGUAUGGAAUUGGUUUUCGAAGUCCUCAACUCUCCAACCUCAUUACAGAAUCCAUACCGGGGACAAACCUUUCAAAUAUAGUGAAUGUUGACAAUCCUUUACCCUCUCCCUUAUAAUUUCAUAAGUGUAGUGAAUGUGGAAAUACAUUUCCCAGUCCUCAAAUCUUCAAGGUAACCAUAGAAUUCAUACUGCAAACAAACAUUGCCAAUGUAAAGAACGUAGAAAGUCCUUCACACAGAAAUCAUAUUUUAAAACCUGACAUAGUAUGCAUACUAGAGACAAACUGUACAAAUGUAAAUAAUCUGACAAGUCAUUUCUCACUUUCUCAAACCUGAGACCACCUAGAAGAUCU
rnacentral:lncRNA from 1 species